AUUGAACGCUGGCGGCAGGCUUAACACAUGCAAGUCGAGCGGGGUGAUGGUGCUUGCACUAUCACUUAGCGGCGGACGGGUGAGUAAUGCUUAGGAAUCUGCCUAUUAGUGGGGGACAACAUCUCGAAAGGGAUGCUAAUACCGCAUACGUCCUACGGGAGAAAGCAGGGGAUCACUUGUGACCUUGCGCUAAUAGAUGAGCCUAAGUCGGAUUAGCUAGUUGGUGGGGUAGAGGCCUACCAAGGCGACGAUCUGUAGCGGGUCUGAGAGGAUGAUCAGCCACACUGGGACUGAGACACGGCCCAGACUCCUACGGGAGGCAGCAGUGGGGAAUAUUGGACAAUGGGGGGAACCCUGAUCCAGCCAUGCCGCGUGUGUGAAGAAGGCCUUAUGGUUGUAAAGCACUUUAAGCGAGGAGGAGGCUCUUUUGGUUAAUACCCAAGAUGAGUGGACGUUACUCGCAGAAUAAGCACCGGCUAACUCUGUGCCAGCAGCCGCCGCGG
rnacentral:rRNA from 1 species